ensembl:lncRNA
AGGGGGGUCGAAUGAGACAGGAAAUAGUCACCACUGCCACGAGUUGACCAUGCUUUCACUAUGCGCAUUCACAAGGGAAGGACCUGUGUUCCACCGGUCAUUUGAAGUCAUUCUAAUUCUCUGGAUGGAACGUUAUUCAAGAUGUAUGUAAACAACAUUCUAAAGAUUGAUUCAGUACAUGGUUUGACAUGUUUCUACUUACUGUUACGGAACUUUUGGACAUUUCGUCACGUUAUAGUGGACGCGCUUUGUGACUUUGGAAUUGUUUACCAAACGCGCUAACCAAAGUAGCUAAUUGGACAUAAAUAACGGACAUUAUUGAACAAAUCAAGCAUUUAUUGUGGACCUGGGAUUCCUAGGACUGCAUUCUGAUGAAGUUCAUCAAAGGAGUAUAAACCCUCUUCCAGAGAUCUCCAUCCGUCUUCAGGUGGCGAAUCAAGUGCUUUAGGAGAUUGCUGCCCAAGAUGAGGUCAUCACUCUGGCCUUCAACCACCAGUGUAGGCACAGCAACUCUACAUCCGUACACCUCCAUCUCCAGCUCACAUACUCCCAAAGGCCUCGUCUUCAACCCACCACAACCAACCAAGACUACCUCUGUAGGACUCAAUGAUGGACUUUCAACACUCCUGCAUGCAACAGUUCAGGCCUACUAGUUUUCCGGGAGCUGAGCAGUGACUACUGUAGGGACUCCACCAGCUGUGCUCAGAGCUGCGGCCUUGGGGCACUGAGAGCGUGCGUGGCCAGCUACAUGACAAAGAAAGCAGAGGUGAUUGGCCCUGCAGUGAAAGAGAGAUGCGGGACUAUUGUGGAUCCUCUGGGGAGCCUCAACAACCUCAUGAUGCUGACGAGGCAGAGAAGAGUCUCUCCAGAUCAGAAC